rnacentral:ncRNA from 2 species
UCCUUAUCAAGAGCCGGGGGAGGAAUCUGGUCCCGUGAUCCCGCAGCAACCGUUACUUGUAACAAGGUGCUAAUUCCAGCAAGCAGAUGCUUGAAAGAUGAGUG